rnacentral:rRNA from 1 species
AACGAACGCUGGCGGCAGGCCUAACACAUGCAAGUCGAACGCUCCGCAAGGGGAGUGGCGCACGGGUGAGUAACACGUGGGAACCUACCUUCUGGUACGGAACAACCAAGGGAAACUUUGGCUAAGACCGUAUACGACCUCCGGGUGAAAGAUUGAUCGCCGGAAGAGGGGCCCGCGUCCGAUUAGGUAGUUGGUGAGGUAACGGCUCACCAAGCCUUCGAUCGGUAGCCGGUCUGAGAGGAUGACCAGCCACACUGGGACUGAGACACGGCCCAGACUCCUACGGGAGGCAGCAGUGGGGAAUAUUGGACAAUGGGCGCAAGCCUGAUCCAGCCAUGCCGCGUGAGUGAUGAAGGCCUCGGUUG